UUAGCUGAAGCCAAAUUUAGAGGCAUUUCAUUGUUAAUGAAACUAUUGAUUAAUAAAUCCAGCUAAA
rnacentral:tRNA from 1 species